rnacentral:tRNA from 1 species
AGUCUUAUAUUCAAUAAUGAUUUCGGAUUGCAAAUCUGAAGGAGGGGCGAAGAGCUUCUAAGGCUU